AGCUUUGGCCAUCUUAUAAGAUAGUCUACACCCUUUGAAUAGGGAAUUCCAGUAUCUCCCUUCUGGACGGAGGCUCAAGUCCCCGGUUGCAGAACGUCAAGAUUCAAAAACUGUUUUGUCCCAGCGGCAAUCACUGUAUUAAACAAACUGU